rnacentral:rRNA from 1 species
CCUACGGGAGGCAGCAGUGAGGAAUAUUGGUCAAUGGGCGUAAGCCUGAACCAGCCAAGUCGCGUGAGGGAUGAAGGUUCUAUGGAUCGUAAACCUCUUUUAUCAGGGAAUAAAGUGCGGGACGUGUCCCGUUUUGUAUGUACCUUAUGAAUAAGGAUCGGCUAACUCCGUGCCAGCAGCCGCGGUAAUACGGAGGAUCCGAGCGUUAUCCGGAUUUAUUGGGUUUAAAGGGUGCGUAGGCGGCAGUUUAAGUCAGCGGGUAAAGUCUGGGGCCCAACCAUAGAAUUGCCGUUGAAACUGGGAGGCUUGAGUAUGGUUGAGGCAGGCGGAAUGCGGGGUGUAGCGGUGAAAUGCUUAGAUAUCACGCAGAACCCCGAUUGCGAAGGCAGCCUGCCAAGCCAUGACUGACGCUGAUGCACGAAAGCGUGGGUAUCAAACAGGAUUAGAUACCCCUGUAGUC